UCGAGAAUCUUUGUCAAUGGACGAAAGUCUGAACAAGCGACGCCGCGUGCGGGAUGAAGGCCUUCGGGUUGUAAACCGCUGUCGUAGGGGAACAAAUGUAGAGGGGUUCUCCCCUUUAUUUGAGUGAUCCUAGGAGGAAGGAGAGGCUAAGCUCGUGCCAGCAGCCGCGGUAAGACGAGCUCUCCAAACGUUAUUCGGAAUCACUGGGCUUAAAGAGUUCGUAGGCGGCUCAGCAGGUCAGGUGUGAAAUCCCACAGCUCAACUGUGGAACUGCGCUUGAAACCGCUGGGCUUGAGGGAGACAGAGGUAAGCGGAACAGAUGGUGGAGCGGUGAAAUGCGUUGAUAUCAUCUGGAACACCGGUGGCGAAAGCGGCUUACUGGGUCUCUUCUGACGCUGAG
rnacentral:rRNA from 1 species